rnacentral:rRNA from 1 species
AGCUCCAAUAGCGUAUAUUAAAGUUGUUGCAGUUAAAAAGCUCGUAGUUGGAUUUCUGUUUCGAACGUCCAGUUUCCGCUUUGCGUGUUACCAGGAUGUUAGAGACAUUUUUUGUGAGGAGGUCCUUCUGCCAUUCAGUUGGUGGUCGGUUCGACUUGCAUCGUUUACUGUGAAAAAAUUAGAGUGUUUAAAGCAGGCGUUUGCUCAUUGAAUACAUUAGCAUGGAAUAAUAAGAUACGACCUUGGUGGUCUAUUUUGUUGGUUUGCACACCAGGGUAAUGAUUAAUAGGGACAGUUGGGGGUAUUCAUAUUUCAGCGUCAGAGGUGAAAUUCUUGGAUCGCUGAAAGAUGAGCUUAGGCGAAAGCAUUUACCAAGGAUGUUUUCA